GCUCGGGCUCGGGCCCGGCCCCUUUCCCGAUCUCCGUCACCGAGACCAUCCCCGUCCCUAUCCCUGUCCCCGUCCUUAUCCCCAUCCCUAUCCCUGUCCCCGUCCUUAUCCCCAUCCCUAUCCCUGUCCCCGUCCUUAUCCCCUUCCCAGUCCUGUCCCCGUCCCCUUCCCCAUCCUGUCUCCACCCCCAUCCCAGUCCCCAUCUCCGUGCACAUCCCUGUUCCUAUCCCCAUCCCUGUUCUUAUCCCUGUGCCUAUCCCUGUCCUGGUCCCUAUCCCCGUCCCUGCCUCCAUGCCUGUCCUUGUCUCCUUCCUCAUCUCCUUCCCCUCCCAGUCCCCGUCCCAGGGGCUCCUCCGCGGGCCAUGGGAUCUGUCCCGAGGCCCUCAGGCUCCCGGCUCGGCCGGGCUUGUUUGAAUCUGAAUUUAUCUCGGUGCCUCCUCAGAGCGUUCCCCGUGCUGCAGAUGAUUUAUGGAGAAACGUCGUGCCCCAGCGUCGAUAAAGUGCUGGGAAGUGCAUGGAAGGGAAGGUGGUGAGGCAUUUGGGAGUUCGGGAAUGGUUAGCUCUGAGGUCCAAGCGGUGGAGGGUUUUCUGCUUUGGAAAGAGGGCUGCGUGUACUCGUGGUGACCAACACUGAGUGGAUGCAGAGUGGAAAGGAGAAAGACACGGAGACAGGAAAGUCGUAUCUCCCCCCCUCUACUACUGAUUUUGAACACUUUGGGUUAAUAGCUACCCUUUACACAUUUUCUUGAAAAAUGAAUGUUAGAACUGGUUUUUCUAAUGUGCAUCCUAUCUUUCUGGGGAACACAGAUACCUAACAUGCAAUUACACCAGGGUACAGCAAACCAACCUAACAGCUGGAUGAUGUUAAGGGGCAUGGAUUGGCUUCUCCCCGAUCUCACCCAUCCACUCCCACAUAUUCUUCUUACCUGGUGAGAAGGCAGGGAACUAAAUCAAAAGAAAACCAUUUCUACACAAAAGUGAUUUGCUUCUUGGGGAGCAGACAGGCUUUUAGGAGAUACCUGCACUUCUUGGGAUAGUCUAAUUAUACCCUUUGUCUUCUGGAUUAUGGGGUUUUACAGGACAAGUGCUGGUAGCCUGUUAAACAGCAGGAAUAACAGCCUUCAGUGAAUAGGUACAUGAUGGAAGGAUAGUUAUUUCGUGACGGAACACGGGGGUUUUCUACUUUCUCAGUGAUGGCUGUGGUGAUAUAACUCUGCAUGCUCAUUCUCUGUGUCCAGACUGUCUUUUCCACUCACUACAGCACAGAUUCCCAGGUCAUCACAGCCCUCGAGCAUCACCCCAUAGGAAUUGGUGAGAUCUGGGGGGCCUGCAAAAAAGCAGCAGCCUUUUUUGGCUUUUUUGGAAAUCCAGCAUUUGUAAACAGGGAUCCUGUUCAAAGCUCCCCAAGAGGUGCUGGGGGACAGCCCUGCCUGAUGUACAGCACCUUAUUCCUCUUUGUUUUGUGUCUUGUAAAAGACACAAUUGUUUAUGAAGGACAUGAGGAUUGCAGCAGCCAUGAUCCUGCAGGACCAGCCCUUGGAGCUGUGCCAUCAUCUUUACAUUCACUCCCUCUGGAACCAUGCCGUGGUCCAAAACUUGGGCUUUUUACUGAGCCAGAAAACUGAGAGGACUGAGAUAAGAAUUACCUUCUAAUGACAUACGUGGAUUUGGAAAAAUAGCUGAAGUUUGUGGUAGUUAUGCUUUCAGCUUCCAUCUCCUUACAUUUCUUAUUACUUGCCUACCAUACCUUUGGCAUUGGACUUUUUACUCUGGUGAAACCUAAUUUGUAUUUUCAGGAUAUAUUUCCAUACUCCUCCACAUGUUCAGUGGUGAGCAUCAGCAUUUUUUUUCAUUUGUGGGAGUUUCUGGUUUUGUUCCCUCCACUUGUUUUGAUCAGGUCUUUCCCCUUAUUCUCUUUUUUUUCUUAUCCCACUCUCUUUAUGGAGCUGUGUCUAUUUAUUUAUCUGGUUUCUAUUAACUUGCCCCUGGCUCAGUCUGCUUGGAGAGUUCACUACUGCAGGGUUUCUGUUUCUGUCCCUUUAGCUGGUUUUAUUGCUUUGAAUUGCAAUGGAGUUGUCUCACCUUAGGAUUACUGUCAGCAGCAACACAACUUGUCCUUCCUGCGCAUGGGUUUAUUUUGAAGAAAAACCUUUAACUUCCUUUUCUUCCACUGUUCCUUUGGAGAGAAUUGGUUAAUUCCUCCAGCAGGAUCCUGGCUGGGUGACACUGCUGAUGGCCUUUGGCAGCAUUCUGGGAUGCUGCUACUCAAGUGGCAGCAGCUUAAGCAGAGAUGAGAGGAUCUGGAGUGUGGACUGAACACCUCAAACACCAAGUGCCCCUUUGCUGAACUCCUCUCCCCAUGGUAACAAGCCAGGGCCCAGCUGAACAAGGUACAGCAACCUGGGCCAGGGGUACAAGGUAAGGGGUUUACAAACAGUAACUGUAACAUGGCUAACAAUCUUCUAAUUAUUCUUAACACAUAGCAUCAGUUGCAUUAGGAAUUAGGGCUCUGCCUGUACAUUCCCUGCUCCUGCUGCAGCCUCCUGAUGUCUACAAUGUUUGCAAACUGUGAGCUCCAAGGGAGUUCAGAGAACUGUGGGACAGGUGACGUACCCUGUGUGCCUCUGCACUGGUUGCACUCCAGGCCUUUUCCCUGUCUCCCUCUGCCAGGUACUCCCUCAAGUCAAACACAGCCUUGGGAUCAGUUCAGAUGAGAAAUGACAUUAAUGUUAUGGUAAAUGAGAUAACAUGCUCAAAGAGUGCAACACAUCAACUGAAAGACAAGAAAAAGGGGAAAACAGCAAGCAGGGGUAGAGUGAGUGUCUGUAGGGAGAUCAGGGUGUUGAGGGAGGCUGGACAAACGGUGCAUGACUUCCUUUUGUUGCCUGUAUGUACCUUUUCCUGAUGGACAAAGAACCAAAUAGAUUUCACAUAGUAAAGGUAACUCAACAGUCAAGUAUUUUUACAGUAAUCCAGUACAUGCAAACCCAUGGCCACCUGGCUACUGAGCUCCCAAAUGCAGAACAGCUCUGACUCGUACUUUCAAUUCCUGCAGCAGCAAUUACCAGCACAAUUACCUGCUCUGUCCUUCAGCUAAGCGGGGCCUUCCCAAAGAGUGUUUUGAAGUGUGUCCAGUGUUUGCACUGGGCGUGCUUCCACAGGCACAGCACAGCCCCUGCUGCCUGCAGAGGUUACAAAGUACAUUCAAUUCAGCCUUGCACUUGUUUCUGUUCCCUCCUGCCUUUUCACAGUGAGUGUGUUUUGCAAUAUUCGGCUAGAAACACUGGCAAAAUAUUAGUAGAAGCAAAUUAAGGGACUAAUUCAGCUCAGAGGGGCUGCUGACACCAUGGGUUGAUACCCUACAGGUCAUGGUGUGCAGCUGGCAGGGACACACAUUCCACAGGGUUUUUUCUAAAGGAAUGAGUUUGAUGUGUGAGUACAGGUCACCUCCUGCCCAUUCACUUCAGCAGGAACAGGUCUGACUGCAACCACCAGAAAACAAAUGAGUACCAAGAAAGCGACUUUCAAAACCACAUUUAAAUUAAGUCCUGAAGUGAAGAGUAAAGAGCAGUGUCUGCAGAACAUUCUUUUUGCAUAAAUGCAUUAUGUGGGUACAAGGGUAGUAUUAAAUUGUCCGGAAUGGCAUUUUCCUCUGGAAAUUACCUUUAAUAAGUGUUCAAUAUGGGUGAAAGUUCACAGAAACUUUAGCAGUAAACUGGUUACUUCUAAAGCUGCCUGCAGAACUCAGUGGGAGCAGUUACAGGGCCUGAUUGAAAGGAUUAAGCACGUGUGGUUUCACUUCUAGUUGGACCAAAACUGAAAAACUCCAACUUACCCAUACACUCAUUCUAAAAAUGACAAGGAGUGUUCUCCAUGUGGAGUUUUGGAACUGCUUCAGUCAGAUUCCUCCUGUCUGCCAUGAGGACAAGAGCUCAGGCCUUGGAAAUCAAGGCUUGUUCUUUAUGUUUUAAUCCAACAUUCCCAGCACAACAGUAUCCCUUAAUAAAAGAUGAAUAGGUCUCAGAUACACAACAAUUGGAAUUCACUUCCUAGCAAAGAGCAAAUACUGUCUGAUAUCAGACCUUUUACCUAAAGGAUUCCAGAAGUAAAACAGGAAAAUGUUUUUCAUCAAUGUCAGCAAAGGGUGAUUUUUCCUCAGUUCAGAGCAUCUCUAAGUACUGAAAAAUACUGAGGGCCAAAGUCUACUAAAAACCAUUUUCUUACACCUAAGCAGUUAAAAAUAUCUAGAGUAGGUAAAAGCCCUUCCAAGACAAGACCUUCAGAAUAAUUAUCUUUCACAGACAUCUCUUGCUGGGCAAGGAAAUGCGCAGGAAAGCAAAGGCAUCAAUCACAUGUUAUUACAGUCCUGCUGGUUAAAAUAGAACUCAUUUCUUCACCUGCACUACUGAACAGGCUUUCAGGAGUCACAGGGGACAUUUACUGACACUUCCAUCUGCAGCAUGGUCCAGUCUCUGACAAGGAGCUUCUGGAGCUGUUGCUGUGGUCUCAGGUCUAUAGGUACAGCUUGCUGCCUGUCCAGAGGGGAGAAUGCACAAGAACUGGAGUCUAAUGACAUUUUAUUUAUUCUCUUUCAUGGCUGAGACCUCUAAUGAGCUACAUGAAGAGCCCUAGACUGAAGCUUUAUUACACUGUCCCUUUAAUGUGGAACAUGCAGCAGCCCUGCUGAGUCACCCCUCCUCUCUCUACCCUCAUUUACUUACUCCUGUCCCUUCCUUAUGCUGGAACAAGCAUUUUUCUAGCUCUGUAGAAAACGGAUCUGUAUUAAAAACGACACAAUUUC